rnacentral:rRNA from 1 species
UAAUACUCCAUAGAUUAGAGACACUGGAAUGUUCUUUAGUCGAAAGUUCUGGCGCCUUAGGAUGGAUCUGCGGUCGAUUAGGUUGUUGUUGGGGUAACGGCCCAACAAGCCUGUAAUCGAUACGGGUUGUGGGAGCAAGAGCCCGGAGAUGGAAUCUGAGACACGAUUCCAGGCCCUACGGGGCGCAGCAGGCGCGAAAACUUUACAAUGCAGGAAACUGUGAUAAGGGAACUCCGAGUGCCCGUAUACGCGGGCUGUCCAGGUGUUUAAAAAUCAUCUGAAGAAAGGGCCGGGCAAGACCGGUGCCAGCCGCCGCGGUAAUACCGGCGGCUCGAGUGGUGGCCACUAUUAUUGGGCUUAAAGCGUCCGUAGCUGGACCGAUAAGUCUCUUGGGAAAUCCGCCGGCUCAACCGGCGGGCGUCUAAGGGAUACUGUUAGUCUAGGGACCGGGAGAGGUGAGAGGUACUCCGGGGGUAGGAGUGAAAUCCUGUAAUCCCCGGGGGACCACCGAUGGCGAAGGCAUCUCACCAGAACGGCUCCGACAGUGAGGGACGAAAGCUGGGGGAGCGAACCGGAUUAGAUACCCGGGUAGUCCCAGCCGUAACUAUGCGCGUUAGGUGU